GAGACGACAGGAAGCUCAAGAUGAAUGAGAAGUGCCACAUUCAGCUGUAGCAACGAGAUCUGAUGAUGAAGAUGAUGGAGGCGGUAACAGUACCAACUUGGACACUGAAAACACAGGCACCUACAAAAGGCCACCGAAGAUGCAGUCAAUUAAAGAAAGAAAUUAUGCUGAUGACGCUGAUGACGACAUGAGUGAUGUUUCUGGCAGUGAAUAUGGCGAUGGAGGGGUGUGCCAUAAGACAGUUAAGAAGACUGUCAAGAAAAAAAAGACAAUGUUGGGAAGACAUGGAUUGGUCUAUGACGCAUCUUUCACACAUGGCCAAGAACAACCAUCAACAUCAGGGAGCGCCACCAAACGAAAGAGGAUUGCAACACUUACACAUGACGACGAUGAUGUUGAAGACAGCGAUGAAGAGGAAAAAAAGACUGGACACAGAUCUCUUGGGAAGAAGAAGACAGCAGUUCGAAAAGAACAUAGUGAAGUUGAAUUGGAAACUAAAAAAAGGAAGAGACCCGGACUCCAAAGGAAAGAGCAGCAAUUGAUCGACACCUUUCAAAAUUUGUAGCAUUAAAGAAAGUUCCAAGGAAAGAUGACUGCGUUAAGUGUCGUAGUCAAGCAUCGCCAGACCUUGAAGACCGCACAUGGAGAGAUAUUCCACAAUGAAAUUAUUAAAACAUAUGUAAUUGGGAAAAAAGCUUGAAGAUGAAAGAUAGAGAGAGGGAGAGACAUAGGGGGGAGAUAGAUGAAGGGAGAGAGGGAAUGGGAUGAGAGAGAGGGGAGAAAAGGAAUAGAGUUUGAAAGCACAGUUAUUUGGUAGGGUAUAUGUGGGUUCAUGUGUCAGGUUGUGGCGCAGCAAGUUUUUUUAGUGUGCGUUUUGAAGGUUGAAGUUUUUCAGGUGUUCUUGUAAGUUUUGAA